ensembl:snRNA LOC120101191 U6 spliceosomal RNA
GUGCUCGCACAUAUACUAAAAUUAGAACGAUACAGAGAUUAGUAUGGCGACUGCACAAGGAUCGCACACAAAUUCGUGAAGCGUUCCAUAUUUUG